CUACCAUGAUGGUAUAUUUUUCUUCAACAGCAAUUCUCCUAAUGAAUGAUGAAGCUUUGGGUCUCAGUGA
ensembl:snoRNA